rnacentral:rRNA from 1 species
GAUGAACGCUGGCGGCGUGCCUAACACAUGCAAGUCGAACGAAGCGCCAUACAGGAAGCCUCCGGGCGGAAUGCGUGGCGACUGAGUGGCGGACGGGUGAGUAACGCGUGGGCAACCUGCCCCAUACAGGGGGAUAACGGCUAGAAAUGGCCGCUAAUACCGCAUAAGCGCACAGCAGCGCAUGCUGCAGUGUGAAAAGCCCUGGCAGUAUGGGAUGGGCCCGCGUCCGAUUAGCUGGUUGGUGGGGUAACGGCCCACCAAGGCGACGAUCGGUAGCCGACCUGAGAGGGUGACCGGCCACAUUGGGACUGAGACACGGCCCAA